UGCAGUCGAGCGGAACGAGUUGUCUGAACCUUCGGGGAACGAUAACGGCGUCGAGCGGCGGACGGGUGAGUAAUGCCUGGGAAAUUGCCCUGAUGUGGGGGAUAACCAUUGGAAACGAUGGCUAAUACCGCAUAAUAGCUUCGGCUCAAAGAGGGGGACCUUCGGGCCUCUCGCGUCAGGAUAUGCCCAGGUGGGAUUAGCUAGUUGGUGAGGUAAGGGCUCACCAAGGCGACGAUCCCUAGCUGGUCUGAGAGGAUGAUCAGCCACACUGGAACUGAGACACGGUCCAGACUCCUACGGGAGGCAGCAGUGGGGAAUAUUGCACAAUGGGCGCAAGCCUGAUGCAGCCAUGCCGCGUGUAUGAAGAAGGCCUUCGGGUUGUAAAGUACUUUCAGCAGUGAGGAAGGUGGUGUACUUAAUACGUGCAUCAUUUGACGUUAGCUGCAGAAGAAGCACCGGCUAACUCCGUGCCAGCAGCCGCGGUAAUACGGAGGGUGCGAGCGUUAAUCGGAAUUACUGGGCGUAAAGCGCAUGCAGGUGGUUUGUUAAGUCAGAUGUGAAAGCCCGGGGCUCAACCUCGGAAUUGCAUUUGAAACUGGCAGACUAGAGUACUGUAGAGGGGGGUAGAAUUUCACGUGUAGCGGUGAAAUGCGUAGAGAUCUGAAGGAAUACCGGUGGCGAAGGCGGCCCCCUGGACAGAUACUGACACUCAGAUGCGAAA
rnacentral:rRNA from 1 species